rnacentral:tRNA from 1 species
GCCCAGAUGGCGGAAUUGGUAGACGCGCUGGUCUCAAACACCAGUGGGGCAACCCGUGCCGGUUCGAUCCCGGCUCUGGGUAC